rnacentral:rRNA from 1 species
UACGGAGGGUGCAAGCGUUAAUCGGAAUUACUGGGCGUAAAGCGCACGCAGGUGGAUUAGUAAGUUGAAUGUGAAAGCCCCGGGCUUAACCUGGGAACUGCAUUCAAAACUGCUAGUCUAGAGUACAGGAGAGGGAAGUGGAAUUUCCGGUGUAGCGGUGAAAUGCGUAGAUAUCGGAAGGAACACCAGUGGCGAAGGCGACUUCCUGGACUGAUACUGACACUCAUGUGCGAAAGCGUGGGGAGCAAAC